rnacentral:tRNA from 1 species
GGAGGGUUCGCCUAAGUGGUAGGGCAGCGGUCUUGAAAACCGCCGGGCUAACGCCCAUGAGGGUUCGAGUCCCUCACCCUCCG